GAUGAACGCUGGCGGCGUGCCUAAUACAUGCAAGUCGAGCGAACGGACGAGAAGCUUGCUUUUCUGAUGUUAGCGGCGGACGGGUGAGUAACACGUGGAUAACCUACCUAUAAGACUGGGAUAACUUCGGGAAACCGGAGCUAAUACCGGAUAAUAUUUUGAACCGCAUGGUUCAAAAGUGAAAGACGGUCUUGCUGUCACUUAUAGAUGGAUCCGCGCUGCAUUAGCUAGUUGGUAAGGUAACGGCUUACCAAGGCAACGAUGCAUAGCCGACCUGAGAGGGUGAUCGGCCACACUGGAACUGAGACACGGUCCAGACUCCUACGGGAGGCAGCAGUAGGGAAUCUUCCGCAAUGGGCGAAAGCCUGACGGAGCAACGCCGCGUGAGUGAUGAAGGUCUUCGGAUCGUAAAACUCUGUUAUUAGGGAAGAACAUAUGUGUAAGUAACUGUUCACAUCUUGACGGUACCUAAUCAGAAAGCCACGGCUAACUACGUG
rnacentral:rRNA from 1 species